rnacentral:rRNA from 1 species
UACGUAAGUGGCGAGCGUUAUCCGGAAUUACUGGGCGUAAAGCGUGCGCAGGCGGCUUCGCAAGUCAGACGUGAAAUCCCCGGGCUUAACCUGGGAAUGGCGUUUGAAACUACGGAGCUGGAGUGUGGCAGAGGGAGGUAGAAUUCCACGUGUAGCGGUGAAAUGCGUAGAUAUGUGGAGGAAUACCGAUGGCGAAGGCGGCUCACUGGCCCGGUACUGACGCUGAGGUGCGAAAGCGUGGGGAGCAAACAGG